CUGUGUUAAUUAGCUGCUGUAAAUCACUGUUUCAAUGUUUCAUUUUCUGUCAACUUUUACUUUAUCACAGUGCAACUAGGACCUUGCCAGAACCUCGCCAUAAUGUGAUUGUGAGUCAGAGUCACAGUGAGAGUGAGGAAGUGGACAUAAUGAGGGCGGUUCCUCCUCUGGUUCCUAUUGCUCCUCCCAUGAGGGCCAGUGGUGGAGGUCUGGCUCCUCCUCCCCCCCAAGCUCAAAUCCCACUGAUGGUAAGAGGGUUCAAGUCACACUUCUCACCACUCCACUCUAAUAUCCUAGGCAAACUUCUUUUUCUUUAGUUAUUCAUUGAGAAUUGAAACAUGUUGCAGUAUUUUAUUACCACAAGGAUUACUAUACAUUAUUCCACUCAUUAUACAGUUAUUAUACUUGCCAAAACGAUAAAAUACAUUCCUCCAAAAUACCUCUUUAUAAUGAUUUUGUUGCCAUUUCGUGACUUCUGCUAAGAAAAAAUAGUUAAUAAAAACAAUAACUAUCUGUAACUAAAAAAGAAAAAAAAAAGUACUUCAUAAAUGUCCUCAUUUCUCCUAGGUGUGGAGCCAUUGGGAGCAUCAGUGGAAUCUUGCCAGGCAUGGAGGAGAGUCCAGCCCAUGGGGUCAGAUGAGGAAGAGAGCAAAGGUGGAAAACAGAGGAGAAGACGGAAACAGCAAGAAAAGAUGCAAGAGAGGACAUCUCCACAACAGCAGCUGGGAUUGCGACCCACAUUGUCCUCACCAUUGUCAGAACAAAUAAAAAAUGUUUCCAAAUGA